CGGCUGCUGCCCGGCUCCCUGGGCUGCUUCCGGGUUUAGCUCAACUCUCGAGGCGGGGCCUGGGUGAGCUCUGGCCCCACCCCUACGGCUGCGGAGAACCCGGAGCGUGCACGGAGGGAGGAGCCGGACGGCGGCACAGGCAACAUUUUCUAUACUGACUCAGGAGUUAGUUAUCAGGUGUGGAAAAUUAAACAUUUUAAAAAGACCCUCACUGCACAGGCUGCGGGAGAAGAAGAGGAGCAGCGGGAGAGGGAACGUGACAGAGGAGGGAGAAAAGGAAGAGUAUCAUCAUCUUGGGAAGGAGGUCCACACCUGGAACUGACCAAGUUACCGAUCCAUGAGAGGACCGUCCCUCUUAUCCCAUGACUGCUUACUUUGCUUAAG